rnacentral:lncRNA from 1 species
UCAAUCUUCCUCUCAUCAUCAUCAAUUCAUCACCACCUUCUUCCAAUCUCUCUACACUCGCACCACAACCAGAUCUGUCAACCAUUUCACCAUUCUUCACCGCCAUUGUUAUCCUCUAAUCGACCAUGGCCAACGUGAUCAUGGCCUCCUCCAAAACCCUAAUCACAUCUCCCCCAACCCCUAAAUCCAAACACCAACCACUACCACAACCUCCCGUCUCCCUUCCCCUCAUCUCCACCACCACCAAACCCCUAAUCUCCCUCUCCCUCACUCCCAAAUCCCUCGCCGCCGCAGCCCUCGUAGCCGCCUCCGUCGCCGCGACUCCCUUCCCCUCCUUAGCAGUCGAGAUCGAAAAGGCCCAACUUUUCGACUUCGAUCUUACGCUUCCGAUCAUUGCCGCGGAGUUUCUUUUCCUCAUGUUCGCUCUCGACAAAGUAUACUACUCCCCCUUGGGGAAUUUUAUGGACGGCAGAGAUAAGGAAAUUAAAGAGAAGCUGAGCAGUGUGAAGGAUACUUCGAGUGAAGUGAAGCAAUUGGAGGAGCAGGCGGCGGCGAUUAUGAGGGCAGCGAGGGCGGAGAUAUCGGCGGCGUUGAACAAGAUGAAGAAGGAGACGGCGUUGGAGGUGGAUGCGAAGCUGGCGGAGGGGAGGAAGAAGGUGGAGGCGGAGUUGCAGGAGGCGUUGGCAAGUUUGGAGAAGCAAAAGGAAGAUACGAUCAAGUCGCUUGAUUCUCAGAUUGCGGCUCUUAGUCAGGAAAUUGUCAACAAGGUCCUUCCAGUUCAAUAAUUUACAUAUCAGUCCUUUAAAUUUGAAAAAGAAAAGGUCACUAGAAUCACGUAAAAUAACAGAAACUUGUUUAUAUUUUGGAUGAUUCGGACUCGGAUUAUUACAUGUGUGAUGAAGUUAUUGUUAAUUUGUGAAAUAAUAUUUUAUGAUUUUUGCUUCAAUCUAUUAAAUGUUAGAAGCAAUAGUGUUAAAACCAUUUUCCAAUUUAUAAUUAUAAGAGUCAUUCAACCUAUGUGUCUUUUUUAUUGUAAUAGUAUUUGUAUCUUUAUGAAAUCAUAAAUUUUCUUUGCUGUUACUAAAGAGCACCAACAAGACUACGAACCCUUGCAAGACACUAUUAGACACAAUAUCUCGAUUACCUUCUAAUGCUAAACCAUCUCCGAUCCAUAAAUGAAGCUUUUACAUAAAAAACUAAUCUUUUUAUUUUCUUUUUGAGGUUUGGUGUUUAAAAUGGUGGAAACCAUUAAUUUCAAUGAUGAAUUGGGAUUUAUGAUGUUAAAUGAUGUUUUGUUUACUAUGGGAUAAUCUCAAUCAAUGAAAACCGUUAAAAUCGGUUCCUAAAGUGGUCAAGAAGGUUGCUUUGAGUUGUCACAAGUUUGAUAUAUCAAACCAAGUGAUACAACAUCCAUAGAACUUGAACCCUUGGGGAAAAUAUGUCACAUGUACGACCUUUGUAAACACUUUCACAUCUUAUCACAUGGAUUUAACAUGAUAAAUAAGAUAUUAUUUGUAAUAAUGUUAAGUCCAAUGGAAGUGAGAUCCAACAUAUAUGCAUACAAUAUAACUUUUCCAAUAUGGGGUUACAAAACAUCAACACAUACAAC